AUUGAACGCUGGCGGCAGGCCUAACACAUGCAAGUCGAACGAGUGGCGGACGGGUGAGUAAUGUCUGGGAAACUGCCUGAGGGAGGGGGAUAACUACUGGAAACGGUAGCUACUACCGCAUACAUUCAGAUGUGCCCAGGUGGGAUUAGCUGGUUGGUGGGGUAACGGCUCACAAAGGCGACGAUCCCGUGCUGGUCUGAGAGGAUGACCAGCCACACUGGAACUGAGACACGGUCCAGACUCCUACGGGAGGCAGCAGUGGGGAAUAUUGGACAAUGGGCGCAAGCCUGAUGCAGCCAUGCCGCGUGUAUGAAGAAGGCCUUCGGGUUGUAAAGUACUUUCAGCGGGGAGGCGUUACCCGCAGAAGAAGCACCGGCUAACUCCGUGCCAGCCGCCGCGGUAAUUC
rnacentral:rRNA from 1 species